rnacentral:rRNA from 1 species
UGGGGAAUAUUGCACAAUGGGGGAAACCCUGAUGCAGCGACGCCGCGUGAACGAAGAAGGUAUUCGUAUCGUAAAGUUCUGUCCUAUGGGAAGAUAAUGACAGUACCAUAGAAGCAAGCUCCGGCUAAAUACGUGCCAGCAGCCGCGGUAAUACGUAUGGAGCGAGCGUUGUCCGGAAUUAUUGGGCGUAAAGGGUACGCAGGCGGUUUAAUAAGUCGAAUGUUAAAGAUCGGGGCUCAACCCCGCAAAGCAUUGGAAACUGAUAAACUUGAGUAGUGGAGAGGAAAGUGGAAUUCCGAGUGUAGUGGUGAAAUACGUAGAUAUUAGGAGGGAUACUAGUAGCGAAGGCGACUGUCUGGACACAAACUGACGCUGAGGUACGAAAGCGUGGGGAGCAAACAGG